CGAGAAUAUCCUUCAACGAAUCUCCGAUAAUAACCAACUAAGCCUAGAAAGUUACGUAUUUCGAUUACCGACUUAGGUUGUUCUCAACUAUGAUUCAUAUCCCAACCUUGGAUAGCACGUUACAAUGACACCUAUCAGUUACUAUCGCACAAAUAUGGUGCCCCCUACGGAGAGUCUGGCUUCGGUGUAAUCCACAAAGGAAGUCACCAGAUAAAGGCUCAGGUACCAAAUUCUAUAGUUGGGUUGUUAACUCCUGAAGUUCAAUAGGAAUCAUUCGAUAUGAGAUUUUAGAAAUGGGUUUUGUACCGGAUUUAAAGUCGAUACAAAUUCAAUAUCACGCUUUGGGAGUAAGCCAAGAAAUUCUUCAGGAAAUACAUCAGGAAAUUUACUAACAAUAGAAAUAUCAUUCAAAUCUGACAUAUUUUUGUUCAAGUCCAUGACAUGAGCUAAGAAAACUUGACAUCCGUUUUUCAAUAAACGAAUGACUUCAUGGCUUGAUAUGAAAAUGUUUGACUUCAAUGGUUUGAUUGCUUGAAUUCGAAUAUCAGGUUGC
rnacentral:lncRNA from 1 species